GACGAACGCUGGCGGCGCGCUUAACACAUGCAAGUCGAACGAUGAAGCCGGAGCUUGCUCCGGUGGAUUAGUGGCGAACGGGUGAGUUACACGUGCGCAAUCUGCCCUUGACUCCGGGAUAACUGCGGGACACUGUAGCUAAUACCGGAUACGACACCUUGGGGCAUCCCCUGGCGUGGAAAGAAUUUCGGUCAAGGAUGAGCUCGCGGCCUAGCAGCUAGUUGGUGAGGUAAUGGCUCACCAAGGCGACGACGGGUAGCCGGCCUGAGAGGGUGACCGGCCACACUGGAACUGAGACACGGUCCAGACUCCUACGGGAGGCAGCAGUGGGGAAUAUUGCACAAUGGGCGAAAGCCUGAUGCAGCAACGCCGCGUGAGGGAUGAAGGCCUUCGGGUUGUAAACCUCUUUUAGCAGGGAAGAAGCGAAAGUGACGGUACCUGCAGAAAAAGCACCGGCUAACUACGUGCCAGCAGCCGCCGUAA
rnacentral:rRNA from 1 species